rnacentral:rRNA from 1 species
UACGUAGGGGGCAAGCGUUGUCCGGAAUCAUUGGGCGUAAAGAGCGUGUAGGCGGUCCGGUAAGUCGGCUGUGAAAGUCCAGGGCUCAACCCUGGGAUGCCGGUCGAUACUGCCGGACUAGAGUUCGGAAGAGGCGAGUGGAAUUCCCGGUGUAGUGGUGAAAUGCGCAGAUAUCGGGAGGAACACCUAUGGCGAAGGCAGCUCGCUGGGACGUUACUGACGCUGAGACGGCGAAAGCGUGGGGAGCAAACAGG